UUAGGCGGGUGAUGGGUGGAUGGGGAGGGGGCGGAAGCCGCGCUGUGAGGAGCUCGCGCGAGCUGCGGAGGCCCGCGUGCGGGACGCCUGAGGAGAGCUGAGGGGGGAGAGCGGAGGGGCGACAGCGGAGGGGCGCGGGGGGGCGGCUGAGGAGCCUCGGGGUGCCGGGCGCUCGGCUGACGCCUUGAGCUGAGAGCAACUGAACAGAUGGAGGUGGGAGAUAAAAUGACAAGCCAGCACAGCCAGUGUGAUUUAUUUAUUUAUUGAAUCUGGGAGGACAACACACUUAUUGCAGAAAAGGCAGUAAAAAUAUAUGUAUGCCUUUAACUACAGAAUAUAUUUAUCCUAUCUCCCAGAGAAAUAGAGAAAUGAGUAAUACCACGAAAAACUCUUUAAUCAUAAACAUGGAGAUUGUUCUGCAGAUUGCUGUGCUCUGGCAGUGCCAGUCAAGAUGGAGUAAGAAAAAUAAUUCUGGGAAACAAAGUGUCAGAUUCAUAGUUACUUACAAAGCAGUAAACAUGGCCUGUACUUUCUAAACAGCACAAAGAAAAUUAUGUAGAUAAGGAAGCAACUGCAUCUGGUCUUAGUAACUAAAUUUAGCAAUGCAAAAUUAAAAUGAUAACUUACAGUUCUUUGUGAUGUCUGAUAUGACUUG